rnacentral:rRNA from 1 species
AGAGUUUGAUCCUGGCUCAGAACGAACGCUGGCGGCACGCCUAACACAUGCAAGUCGAGCGCUACCUUCGGGUGGAGCGGCGGACGGGUUAGUAACGCGUGGGAACAUACCCUUUUCUACGGAAUAGCCUUUGGAAACGAAGAGUAAUACCGUAUACGCCCUUCGGGGGAAAGAUUUAUCGGUUAAGGAUUGGCCCGCGUUAGAUUAGAUAGUUGGUGGGGUAAUGGCCUACCAAGUCUACGAUCUAUAGCUGGUUUGAGAGGAUGAUCAGCAACACUGGGACUGAGACACGGCCCAGACUCCUACGGGAGGCAGCAGUGGGGAAUCUUAGACAAUGGGCGCAAGCCUGAUCUAGCGAUGCCGCGUGAGUGAAGAAGGCCCUAGGGUCGUAAAGCUCUUUCGCCAAGGAUGAUAAUGACAGUACUUGGUAAAGAAGUCCCGGCUAACUCCGUGCCAGCAGCCGCGGUAAUACGGAGGGGACUAGCGUUGUUCGGAAUUACUGGGCGUAAAGCGCGCGUAGGCGGACUGGAAAGUAUGGGGUGAAAUCCCAGGGCUCAACCCUGGAACUGCCUCAUAAACUCCCAGUCUUGAGUUCGAGAGAGGUGAGUGGAAUUCCAAGUGUAGAGGUGAAAUUCGUAGAUAUUUGGAGGAACACCAGUGGCGAAGGCGGCUCACUGGCUCGAUACUGACGCUGAGGUG